rnacentral:rRNA from 1 species
UGGUGGAGUGAUUUGUCUGGUUAAUUCCGAUAACGAACGAGACCCCGUCCUACUUACUAGAUCACCGAUCCUUUUUGUUGGUGACUUCUUCUUAGAGGGACAACUGUUUAAAAUGUGAACUCCGUGAAAGGGGGCGAAUAACA